AAUGAACGCUGGCGGCGCGCCUAAUACAUGCAAGUCGAGCGAGAAGACGUAGCAAUACGUUUGUAAAGCGGCGAACGGGUGAGGAAUACAUGGGUAACCUACCCUCGAGUGGGGAAUAACUAGCCGAAAGGUUAGCUAAUACCGCGUACGCUCCUUGGACUUCGGUUCAGGGAGGAAAGCGAUACCGUGGGUAUCGCGCUCUUGGUUGGGCUCAUGUCCUAUCAGCUUGUUGGUGAGGUAACGGCUCACCAAGGCUUCGACGGGUAGCUGGUCUGAGAGGACGAUCAGCCACACUGGCACUGCGACACGGGCCAGACUCCUACGGGAGGCAGCAGUAAGGAAUAUUGCGCAAUGGGCGAAAGCCUGACGCAGCGACGCCGCGUGGGGGAGUGAAGGUCUUCGG
rnacentral:rRNA from 1 species